UGUCUGAGUGGUCACGUAUGACAUCAGGACCUCCUAUGCACAUGUGGGCGUGGUCACGUAUGACAUCAGGACCUCCUAUGCACAUGUGGGUCACUUCAGGGUCGCAUUCAGUUCAUACUCAAAACUGAUAGAAGUUGCAUUUAAUGUGAAAAAUGAACGAGCAUACAAAAAAAAAAUCAAA